UUUUCUCACAUGUCCUUAAAAAGACAGAUAGAGCUACAGAUGAUUAUCAGUCUGAGCCUGGGAUCUUGCUCCUCCUGCCUAAACUGCCUCAUGGAACAGAAUGUCAGUGAACAGAAAGCCCUGGGGCUUCUAGACUUGAGCUGGAAAUUAGAAGACCAUUGAUUCCAACAUGGAAACAGAAGAACAAAGAAGAAGUAAACAGAAAACAAGAAAGAG
rnacentral:lncRNA from 1 species